rnacentral:lncRNA from 1 species
GACAGCAACGUUCCGCAGAGUUUCUGGAGUCAGGACGAUGGGACACAUCUGAGUGUGCUGUACAACAAGCAGGGACCAUGUCUUCGAAACUUCCUGAAAUAUGUCCUAGAGAACGACGCUUCGAGGGCUGCCUCUCUGGCACAGACAUCCAUCAUCAGAGUGGAAAGUUCUGUUGUCUUUGGAAUGUUGGUGGAGUCUGUGGGCCAUCUCUUAGGAUGGUGUCUUUCAUGGUGGGGUGGCAGGAUUCCAUGGUGAACGUAGUAUAUGGGGUCACAGCUUUUCCCUGACUUCGUGAGACCCUGGCAAAUGCCCCCAAGAAGAAUCUGGUAAGAGUUAAGAUGUUAUUAAGACUCCAGGCCUAACCCUGAAACUUGCCUGAUACGUGUGGGUCUGUCUCCUUAAUUCAAAAUAAAAAGAGACUCAAGGCUCCUUUAGACCAUGCUCCAGACCUAGGCUGUCCACAAGUCCAGAGGUGUCCUGUAGUCCCAGUGGGACAUGCUCUGUGGCCUGUGAUCCGCACAGUAAUAAAGGUCUGGCAGAUCACCAUCUUCUUGGGAGUCCUUCUUCCUGGGUUUGAACCGUCGAAGAAUUACUGAUGUAUCAGCUGUAGAUUCCAUGAUGCAAAUAGUCCUGAAAUCAUGGGCUGAAUUUAGUGGGCUUCUAAAAUUCAGUCCUGAAAUCAGUGGGCUUCUCCCAUCUUUCUGACCUAACAGAAAAAUGCAGAGAUCUCCAGUCCAUUUUUAAAGAUUGGUCUAUAAUUGAGCUAGAAAGUUCUGGAAGCUGGUCUUACCUUGCGAUAAGGCCUUCUUGAGUCAGCAGAAGGCCCUGACUCCACCUGAAGGUGUCUCAAAGGUGACGCCUUGUCUCCUGCCAACAGACUCUUGUCCUGUCUUGUUGCUCAUGUGGUGUUUGAGGCAAGGUCUUGCCAGGUCCCAUCAGGGCAGCAUUUGGGGGAACAUGUGGGAGGGACUGGUCUGUGUCCCUCUCCCCCAAAACUUGAGAACCUGUUGAGCCCUGUAACUUCUCCUUUUCCAGCCUGUAAAAGGCCACAGUUGUUUUCCUGCUGGUGGCCCUUCCUGGGAGAGAUGGCACAUGAGCCCCCGUGCAGUGUCCUUUCUCACUGGUCCUUGCUGGAGGGUCACCUGCUGUUGGUCAGACUCCUGGCAUUUCGAAGCAUCCCAGUUGAAGUGCAGGUGCACUCAGCACAGGUUUCCAUGCUGACCCAGGAAGUGGGAUGAUGAGAUAUUUAGCUGGAGAAUUACUUACGAUUUUGAGAAGAUCUCUUGUCUCUUUCUUUAGGUAAAACUCCACUAGCCAGGUGCAAACAAGAAUUGUCUUUGCUUGUCUUAAAGAUGCGUGCAGAGGAGAAUUACAUCAGAUAGUUUUAUUUUUCCAGUUUGCCCUAUUUUAUAAUUCGAGUUUUCCUUCUUGCCUUUCAUGCCUUUGAUUGAAACUGUGUUAGCUUGUCCUUUCCUUGGUGGGCCUGGAAACACAGCUCUCCUCUCCCCAAGGUCAAGGUCACCUUGCUCAACCUCCUCACCACCAUGGAAGUGGUCUGCACACGCAGGUGUGUCUGGUCCAUGAUCCUUCCCAUUCAGUGGGCGUCUCCCGUCCCUCUCCCCAUAAACACAGAGGCAGCUCUAUAGCCUUAGAACUGCCUUGGACUUGGUUCUUUUAAUUUGCAACCCUACUUGUUUUCACUGUUGCAUUGAUCCGCCUCUCUGAUUCCUCAGCUUCCAGAAGGUCAGUCCCCAGUCACGGGGUCUUAGGGACAGCCCUGCUCCUGUCUGCUUCCUGCUUGUUGGGGGAGGGCACGUGCUUGACCCUUGCCUGAGGUGCGGAGACACUCCCCCGCCCCACCGCCCAGAACCGCGGCUCUGAGCGUGGACAGACACCGCCUGAUGGGGCUGUGACAGUGCUGUCCCCUUGCUUUUCUCCACGAAGUGUCUCCUCAGCUCACUUAGGAUGUACUCUCCACACUCCACCUGAAGGUGGUAACUUAGCGCGUUGUGAUUGACGCCACCAAAAGACCAGGUUGGCAUUCUUUUUUAUUUUUAUUUUUUGCUAUUUUAGGGCCAUACUUGUGGCAUAUGGAGGUCCCAGGCCAGGGACUGGCACUGCAUCUUUGACCUACACCACAGCUAACGGCAACGCUGGGUCCUUAACCCACUGAGUGAGGCCAGGGAUUGAACCCUCAUCCUCAUGGAUCCUAGUCAGGUUUGUUAACCACUGAGCCAUGAUGGGAACUCACCAGGUUGACAUUAUUAACAUGUAGAGUAAUUCAGCUGAAUUUUGCUGGGAUUUACCUUAAAUUGCUCAUGUAGCUAUACUUUUAUUUAUAAUAACAAUAAUAAUCUUUGAUAACCUGGUGCAUGAAACAGUUUUUAAGAUGAAAAAAGCAGUCCUGCCUUAAGAUGGGCAAAGUUCUAUACAGUUGGAUCCAUGCAUGAGGCAGAAAGACCCAGGAUGGUGUGGGUGCCAGACCCCCAUGUGACUAAGAUCUAUGGCAAUGUCUUCAAAAACUCCUUUCGCCUUUGGAAAUACAUAUUCUGUAGCACAGUGCAUACUAUUUUACUAUAAGUAAAAUCAAAACAAUGUCAAGUGUUGCCAGAAUAUAGGCAGCACUUUGUGAAUUUAGAAUAUUCCUUAUUUCAUGAUGCAUUAGCAUGCUUGGGAAAAUUUCAUUGGUUUAUUUAAAGAUGACGUACAUCUCUUGAUCCCUCUUGGGUGCCUUCAAAAGACACCAGCCAUUUGGAGAGGGUGGAACUCCUGUGCCCUUGUGUCCAUCCAGCCAGCCCCUGCCUUGAGUGGUCCCACACAACGUUACUCUGAGGACAGAGGGGAGGGACCAGGUGGCAGCUUAUUUGGAACAGAACCCACCAGGGGCUCAGGCUGGGUUUUGUUCAGCCCUGAGACAAGGUGGAGCUGGAGGACCCAGGACCUGUCCUUUAAACCAGGGAGCUUUGACAUGGGACCUGCCAGGUUUGUCUCCAUCCCCCGAGCCCACUUUAUGCUCCUGUGCUGCCAGCAUAUGAGCCAGGCCACCUGCCUGGGCAGCCAGGAGAGCAGCAGCCAGGCCAGAGCUGUGCUGUUCGGUCCCCUCGUUUGUCUCAGGGUUUAUGACACAUUGAAUGUCAUCUCACGUUGUCUCCGUCCCUUUCCGACGUGCCUCAGCCUAAACUCAGGUUGACUCCCAAGCCAUCAUCACAUUUGAACAUCUCUGAGUCAACUAUCUACGCCGAUCGUGGGUGACAUACAUGACAGUAGUGUCUCACUGACCUUGGUUGCACCUCCCUUGACCUUCAGAUUUGUCACAGUUGGGUCUAUUUAUCUUUUUGGAGGUGGGGGGUGGGGAUCACCACACAUGUUUUGGUUUGUUAUUAGUGUCUUCCAAAGAUCACCACAGUCUUUGGGAAUUCAACAACCUAAAGCGAUUGGUGGGUCAGGUAUCCUUCUGGGGCCAAGUCUGGCAGCUUCACUGCCGAGGAUAAAAAACACUUCCAGGGGUGUAACCCCCAGCAUUUUAAGGGAAUAUAAAGAAACAUGAAACUUUAUAGCCAUAGGAAUUUCUUUUUUGCCCAGGCUCUUUUGGUCAUUUCUCAGAUUUUAGAAAUUAUUUUUUAGGUAUUCACAGUUUUUCUAUGAAGUAAUGUAACCUGACCUGCUUCUCACCUUCCUCACACUUAAGUGCUUCUCAAAAAUAGCAGAUCUGCCCUUAAAAUGAGAAAGUUUAUGACCGUGACUUCAGCUGGUUGGGUUUUCUCCCACGGUUUCAGCAGUUGGACAGACUGCUUUUCUGGACCCCAGGUAUGUGGUGAGAUGUGCAGGAGGCGGGGGGCAGGGUUAUGAGUAGGAGUCAGGUACCGUGAAGGACAUCACAGCUUCUGACUGUUGACGCUUGUGGUCAGAGGUAGGAUUCGGGCUUCCUUACACUGCAAGUCCAGCCCAGAUUCUAAGGAAAUGGGAGCAGCCAUCAGUGAUCCAAAGAAUGAAAAAUGCGAAUAUUAAGCAAAUGCGAAUAUUAAGCAAAUGCGAAACACAUAGCGUCAUUGUCCCUGGAGCUGUUGGUGGUGUUGGAUCGCUGGGGGAGCCUGGCCAUCAUCCUUAUUACCUGCCUGGGGUUGACACCUCUGCCAGGCUGGGCACAGGAGACUGGGCUGUCUCUCUGGUCCAGGUGCCUCUCACACAGCAGUGGUUUCUUGGCAUCUGGGCAUAAAUGAAUGUAAUAAGAGGAGUUCCUGGAAUUCCCAUUGUGGCUCAGUGAAAACAAAUCUGACUGGUAUCCAUGAGGAUCCAGGUUUGAUCCCUGGCCUCACUCAGUUAAGGAUCUGGUAUUGCCCUGAGCUGUGGUGUAGGUUGCAGAUGUAGCUUGGAUCUGGUGUUGCUGUGGCUGAGGCGUAGGC